GUGACGAUGUGGAGAUCUUACGGAGUGCAGUUCCGGUUAAAACUUCAGUUUCACCUGUUUCCCGCAACCUUCCAAUUUUUAGUGGAGAAAGUGACAUAAGAAGUUUGUCAUUGUCAAAUGUGGCUCCAACUUUGAGAGCGUGAAAAUAAGGCAACAUUAACAGGUUUCAUCGAGGGACACAACAAAAACAAGACACAAGAUAUUAACAGUUUGAGUAAUUAAAGGUGAUGGGUACUGUGGAAGAGAGCGUGGUGGCGGUCUUCAGUACAGACGGCUGCGGGGCGAUAACAACUGGUGACUGAGUGGCAGUUGUAACCAAAGCCUGGGAGGGAACAAGUUUGGUGAGCGUUGGAGGAGCUGUGGCUUUGGGCAGAACCGCAGCAGAAGUUGCAACAGCUGCAGGUCCGUUCCCUACUGUGGCAAUGAUCUGGCCCUGGGUGUUGAGAAGCAGCUGUGGGGUGACGGUCUGGACCUGG